GGGAGUGGUGUAGUGGUUUGAGUGUUGGACUAUGACUCUGGAGACCAGGGUUUGAUUCCCAGCUCGGCCA
rnacentral:tRNA from 1 species